UGUGUGUGUGCUUGCUUGUGCUUGUUUGUGGUGUUUUAAUUCAACGUUAUACAUGUGCAUGUUAUCAGCAAGGCAUACUACUGUUAUACACCUCCACCUAUAGUGAAGGUAACUCAUGUCCUCAUGUUGUCUAUCAGGAUGUCUCCAGCUGUAUUAACUGCUGACUGCAUCUCCACCAGAUCCCUCUCUCUCCUCAGACAGUCCAAGCUGACCCCAGCAGUGACACGUACACAGCUCUGAACUUGAAGAACGUGUCACCCGACUAUGACACACUUCCUAAUGUGAGAGACUCCUCCAGUGAUACGUACUCUCCUCUGGACAUGAGGACCAGGUCUUCUGACUACGACACACUGGCUACUAUGAGAAGGACUGGAGCAGAGAUCUAGAACACUCUAUUUGGAACAAAGAGCUACGACCCCAAACCAAAGAUUUAAAAAAUAUAUAUAUCUUUUAUUGUGAUAUGAAUUGGCAUAAUGUUUACACAGAACAAUGAAAACAUUAGCAAGUAGGUUCUUGCUGAUAAUAAACAAAUAUAAUAAUAAUAAUAAUAAUAAUAAUAGUAAAAUAACAUUAUGAAUAUGACAACUAGUAAUUUUAUCAAUAUUAUAAUGUCUAUACUAGUGAUUAUAUUUUUAUUACAUGAAUAUAACAUACCUUUUAAUACCUUUUAAAAGUGUUAGAAUUUAAUGGUAUUAUGUGUGAUUUGAGCAACUUCAUGUUAGCAUAAUUGCAGGCUUGCUUUACAAUCCUGUAGCUCGAAAGAUACAAUGUUUUCUAGGCCCAAACAACAUAGAAAGUAAAAUUAUAUGACUUAAUUCUGGUGCUUUUUAGCUAAUAUUGCUAAU